rnacentral:rRNA from 1 species
AUUGAACGCUGGCGGCAGGCCUAACACAUGCAAGUCGAACGGUAGCACAGAGAGCUUGCUCUCGGGUGACGAGUGGCGGACGGGUGAGUAAUGUCUGGGAAACUGCCUGAUGGAGGGGGAUAACUACUGGAAACGGUAGCUAAUACCGCAUAACGUCGCAAGACCAAAGAGGGGGACCUUCGGGCCUCUUGCCAUCAGAUGUGCCCAGAUGGGAUUAGCUAGUAGGUGGGGUAACGGCUCACCUAGGCGACGGUCCCUAGCUGGUCUGAGAGGAUGACCAGCCACACUGGAACUGAGACACGGUCCAGACUCCUACGGGAGGCGGCAGUGGGGAAUAUUGCACAAUGGGCGCAAGCCUGAUGCAGCCAUGCCGCGUGUAUGAAGAAGGCCUUCGGGUUGUAAAGUACUUUCAGCGGGGAGGAAGGUGUUGUGGUUAAUAACCACAGCAAUUGACGUUACCCGCAGAAGAAGCACCGGCUAACUCCGUGCCAGCCGCCGCCGUAA